rnacentral:rRNA from 1 species
CCUACGGGCGGCAGCAGUGGGGAAUAUUGGACAAUGGGCGAAAGCCUGAUCCAGCCAUGCCGCGUGUGUGAAGAAGGCCUUCGGGUUGUAAAGCACUUUCAGUGGGGAAGAAAGCCUUGGGGCUAAUGCCCUCGAGGAAGGACAUCACCCACAGAAGAAGCACCGGCUAACUCCGUGCCAGCAGCCGCGGUAAUACGGAGGGUGCGAGCGUUAAUCGGAAUUACUGGGCGUAAAGCGCGCGUAGGCGGUCUGAUAAGCCGGUUGUGAAAGCCCCGGGCUCAACCUGGGAACGGCAUCCGGAACUGUCAGGCUAGAGUGCAGGAGAGGAAGGUAGAAUUCCCGGUGUAGCGGUGAAAUGCGUAGAGAUCGGGAGGAAUACCAGUGGCGAAGGCGGCCUUCUGGACUGACACUGACGCUGAGGUGCGAAAGCGUGGGUAGCAAACAGGAUUAGAUACCCUAGUAGUC